CGCUUCUGACAGUGUAGAAACGUGUGUCUUAAGUCUUUGCUGUCGUUGCGAGUACAGAUCAGAGAUAAGUCUGUGUUUGGUAGCAUCUUAUGGACCACAGAGUGAUAGGCAACCAAUGUCUCCACCCCGGCUCACCGGCGGCCUUCUCUACAGUCAGCAAGCAGGAAGACUUCUCUGAAGAAGUAUAUGAUCUGAAGACCAAGCAUCUAAAGAGGCAGGAGCUGUUCUCCAGAGAGGGCCUGAUAUGGCAGAAUAUAGUCCAGUUCUUCACUCAGCACCUGGAGAAGGCAGAGCAGCAGGCUGCAGCACAGGAGCUGAAGAGCAUCCUAAAGGCUGCCAAGCAGAUAGGUGGCGGAGUUUGUUUGUUCCCAGAGCUCCUGUCGCUCCCCUCAGUGCGGCUCGGACUUCGGACGCAACAUCACCUUCUCCUAUGACUGUUACACCCUGGACCCCCAGGAGGCCCUGCCCUGGGCGGGGGGCCCUGAGGAUGAGACCCCUGGUGGAGGCCUGGACUUCCAAAGCUUCCUCAACAACCAUCAAGGCCUGGGGGAGAGGCGGAGGGAGGCAGGCUAAGCCAGGGAGUGGCUCAGAGCCCUGGGGAUGGGACCAACCUGAGGGGGACGUGGAGAAGUUCCUGAACGGAGGCAACAUGAUCUCCUCCAGCCCUGAGGAACUGUGCACCUCCCUGUUUGAGUGACGACGAGCUGCAGAACGGGCAGAGUGUAGGUUUUACUAAUACCUGAGUCUACAUUCUCUUCUAAUGUUCUUCACGUAGCUGACAUUUGGAAGCCAA
rnacentral:lncRNA from 1 species